rnacentral:rRNA from 1 species
UACAGAGGGUGCGAGCGUUAAUCGGAAUUACUGGGCGUAAAGCGUGCGUAGACGGUUACGUAAGUCGGGUGUGAAAGCCCCGGGCUCAACCUGGGAACUGCAAUGGAAACUGGCGGGCUUGAGUGUGGCAGAGGGGGGUGGAAUUCCGCGUGUAGCAGUGAAAUGCGUAGAGAUGUGGAGGAAUACCGAUGGCGAAGGCAGCCCCCUGGGAUAACACUGACGCUCAUGCACGAAAGCGUGGGGAGCAAACAGG